rnacentral:lncRNA from 1 species
AUCCGUAUUUUCAUGCCAGUACCGAAGUACUGGUUACUGGGCUGGUGAUACCCUCGGGGACUAAUAGUCCACCAGCAGAGGCAUCGACCCAGUGAUAGUAAUACAAUUAACGGUAUCAAUUUUCUUGCACCAGAUGCGCAUUUCGACAUUACAUGUCUCUUCAGUGAUGCUCGUGGCCAAAAUAUUUGAAAUCCAAAGCUUAUAUAAAAGAUGAAGAGCUAUAAUCCAAAAGGUCCAAAAAGUAUAGCCAAAUCCGUGAAAGGAAUCAGAGCUUUGCAUGAGGGAGAUACAUUCAU